GAUGAACGCUAGCUACAGGCUUAACACAUGCAAGUCGAGGGGAAACGACAUCGAAAGCUUGCUUUUGAUGGGCGUCGACCGGCGCACGGGUGAGUAACGCGUAUCCAACCUGCCCAUCACUUGGGAAUAACCUUGCGAAAGUAAGACUAAUACCCAAUGAUAUCCCACGAAGGCAUCGGAAUGGGAUUAAAGAUUUAUCGGUGAUGGAUGGGGAUGCGUCUGAUUAGCUUGUUGGCGGGGUAACGGCCCACCAAGGCAACGAUCAGUAGGGGUUCUGAGAGGAAGGUCCCCCACAUUGGAACUGGGACACGGGCCAAACUGCUACGGGAGGCAGCAGUGAGGAAGAUUGGUCAAUGGGCGAGAGCCUGAACCAGCCAAGUAGCGUGCAGGAAGACGGCGCUAUGGGUGGUAAACUGCUUUUAUAAGGGAAUAAAGUGGGUCACGUGUGACUUUUUGCAUGUACCUUAUGAAUAAGGACCGGCUAAUUCUGUG
rnacentral:rRNA from 1 species